rnacentral:rRNA from 1 species
AAUGCUGACAUAAGUAACGAUAAAGCGGGUGAAAAGCCCGCUCGCCGGAAGACCAAGGGUUCCUGUCCAACGUUAAUCGGGGCAGGGUGAGUCGACCCCUAAGGCGAGGCCGAAAGGCGUAGUCGAUGGGAAACAGGUUAAUAUUCCUGUACUUGGUGUUACUGCGAAGGGGGGACGGAGAAGGCUAUGUUGGCCGGGCGACGGUUGUCCCGGUUUAAGCGUGUAGGCUGGUUUUCCAGGCAAAUCCGGAAAAUCAAGGCUGAGGCGUGAUGACGAGGCACUACGGUGCUGAAGCAACAAAUGCCCUGCUUCCAGGAAAAGCCUCUAAGCAUCAGGUAACAUCAAAUCGUACCCCAAACCGACACAGGUGGUCAGGUAGAGAAUACCAAGGCGCUUGAGAGAACUCGGGUGAAGGAACUAGGCAAAAUGGUGCCGUAACUUCGGGAGAAGGCACGCUGAUAUGUAGGUGAAGUCCCUCGCGGAUGGAGCUGAAAUCAGUCGAAGAUACCAGCUGGCUGCAACUGUUUAUUAAAAACACAGCACUGUGCA